rnacentral:rRNA from 1 species
GACGAACGCUGGCGGCGUGCUUAACACAUGCAAGUCGAACGGAAAGGCCCUGCUUUUGUGGGGUGCUCGAGUGGCGAACGGGUGAGUAACACGUGAGUAACCUGCCCUUGACUUUGGGAUAACUUCAGGAAACUGGGGCUAAUACCGGAUAGGAGCUCCUGCUGCAUGGUGGGGGUUGGAAAGUUUCGGCGGUUGGGGAUGGACUCGCGGCUUAUCAGCUUGUUGGUGGGGUAGUGGCUUACCAAGGUUUUGACGGGUAGCCGGCCUGGGAGGGUGACCGGCCACAUUGGGACUGAGAUACGGCCCAGACUCCUACGGGAGGCAGCAGUGGGGAAUAUGGCACAAUGGGCGGAAGCCUGAUGCAGCAACGCCGCGUGCGGGAUGACGGCCUUCGGGUUGUAAACCGCUUUCGCCUGUGACGAAGCGUGAGUGACGGUAAUGGGUAAAGAAGCACCGGCUAACUACGUG